rnacentral:rRNA from 1 species
UACGGAGGAUGCAAGCGUUAUCCGGAUUUAUUGGGUUUAAAGGGUGCGUAGGCGGAUUAUUAAGUCAGUGGUGAAAACCUGCAGCUUAACUGUAGACUUGCCAUUGAUACUGUUAGUCUUGAGGGUGGUCAAGGUAGGCGGAAUGUGUAAUGUAGCGGUGAAAUGCUUAGAUAUUACACAGAACACCGAUUGCGAAGGCAGCUUACUGGGCCAUUUCUGACGCUGAUGCACGAAAGCGUGGGGAG